UACGUAGGGAGCAAGCGUUGUCCGGAAUCAUUGGGCGUAAAGCGCGCGUAGGUGGCUUCGUAAGUCCGUUGUGAAAGUCAAAGGCUCAACCUUUGAAAGCCGAUGGAUACUGUGAAGCUAGAGUACGGAAGAGGCGAGUGGAAUUCCUGGUGUAGCGGUGGAAUGCGCAGAUAUCAGGAGGAACACCAAUAGCGAAGGCAGCUCGCUGGGACGGUACUGACGCUAAGGCGCGAAAGCGUGGGGAGCGAACAGG
rnacentral:rRNA from 1 species